rnacentral:misc_RNA from 1 species
AUCAGGUGACACAAGGUCUUGAUCCAUCUCGGAAUUCAGAAGAGAUUGAAGACUAGUAUCGUUUUGAUGAGAUGGCAAUCCUUCGAGGUCUUUCCUUUCGCAGAAUGAAACCGAACUACACAACACGUUAUUCUCGAUCAUAGGCUCCCUCUCAAGCAAUAUUUUGCUGGGAGGACACUCUGAUACCAUUUGCUGGAGAGUUUUCCCGGUUAUAUCGUCCAACGGCAUCAGCUUUUUAGCAAGUGUCGAAAGGUUUUCAGUUCCUG